UACAGAGGUCCCGAGCGUUGUUCGGAUUCAUUGGGCGUAAAGGGUGCGUAGGUGGCGCUGUAAGUGGGGGUGUGAAAUCCCGGGGCUUAACCCCGGGACUGCAUUCCAUACUGCGGUGCUUGAGGACUGGAGAGGAGACUGGAAUUUACGGUGUAGCAGUGAAAUGCGUAGAGAUCGUAAGGAAGACCAGUGGCGAAGGCGGGUCUCUGGACAGUUCCUGACACUGAGGCACGAAGGCCAGGGGAGCAAACGGG
rnacentral:rRNA from 1 species